UACAGAGGAUGCAAGCGUUAUCCGGAAUGAUUGGGCGUAAAGCGUCUGUAGGUGGCUUUUUAAGUCCGCCGUCAAAUCCCAGGGCUCAACUCUGGACAGGCGGUGGAAACUACCAAGCUGGAGUACGGUAGGGGCAGAGGGAAUUUCCGGUGGAGCGGUGAAAUGCGUAGAGAUCAAGAGGAACACCUGCGGCGAAGGCGGGUUGCUGGGCCGACACUGACGCUGAUGCGCGAAAGCUAGGGGAGCGAACGGG
rnacentral:rRNA from 1 species